UUGUUGCUGUUUCUGCUGCCAUGCCUGGUGCUUUCUUCCAUGCACUACCACUACCAGCAGCAGCAGCAGCAGCAGCAGCAGCAGCAGCAGCAGCAGCAGCAAUA
rnacentral:miRNA from 14 species